rnacentral:rRNA from 1 species
AGUGAACGCUGGCGGCAGGCCUAACACAUGCAAGUCGAGCGGCAGCGCGUCCGACCACCCUCGGGUGGUCGGAUGGCGGCGAGCGGCGGACGGGUGAGGAAUGCAUCGGAAUCUGCCUCGUUGUGGGGGAUAACGUAGGGAAACUUACGCUAAUACCGCAUACGACCUACGGGUGAAAGUGGGGGACCUUCGGGCCUCACGCGAUGAGAUGAGCCGAUGCCGGAUUAGCUAGUUGGCGGGGUAAAGGCCCACCAAGGCGACGAUCCGUAGCUGGUCUGAGAGGAUGAUCAGCCACACUGGAACUGAGACACGGUCCAGACUCCUACGGGAGGCAGCAGUGGGGAAUAUUGGACAAUGGGGGCAACCCUGAUCCAGCCAUGCCGCGUGUGUGAAGAAGGCCUCGGUUGUAAGCACUUUGUUGGG